rnacentral:rRNA from 1 species
GGACUACCCGGGUAUCUAAUCCUGUUUGCUCCCCACGCUUUCGCGUCUCAGCGUCAGCAACGACCCAGAGGGCCGCCUUCGCCGCCGGUGUUCCUCCUGAUAUCUACGCAUUUCACCGCUACACCAGGAAUUCCACCCUCCUCUAUCGCGCUCAAGUUGGCUAGUUUCCAGCGCACUUCCGGGGCUAAGCCCCGGGCUUUCACACCAGACUUGACCAACCGCCUACACGCCCUUUACGCCCAGUCAAUCCGAACAACGCUCGCACCCUCCGUCUUACCGCGGCGGCUGGCAC